GUGCUCACUUUGGCAGCCCGAAUACAAAAUCUGAAAUGACACGGAGAAGAUUACCCCGGUUCCUGUGCAAGGAUGACACACAAAUUUGUGAAGCUUUCCAUAUUCUU